CGGCGGGAACACCAUGCUCUUCAGAGGAAAGUGUGUGCUGAACUUUUCACCUCUGUGGCUGUGGAAGCUGGUUCAGCUCCCUCUGACACACUGGGGCAUUCAGAAAGAAGGUGGUCAGGAGUGAGGGAGGUGAGAUGGACAGGAAGAAAUAAAGUGUGGGUGAGUAAGAAAGUCUGUGAUCACCUAGAAAGGGACUUGGACUUCAUGCAGAAGAUGAAAACCAUAGGCAGGUAGCGGUUGGGGCAGUAAGAAAAUACACGUGCCCUGGCUGGGACAUAUCAGCUAGUCCAUGCACAUUGGCAUUAAUGUAACAAAAAAUUCAGCAAAGACAAAAAGCAGAGAAGAUGACAGAGAACUGGAGGACAACCAGAGGUAAUGCAACAAAGAAAUCAAUGGGGAGCAGAAAAUUAAGCAAGAGUAUGAGGUGAAAUGGCAAAACCAGAGGGAAAGGUGUCAGAGCCCUUUGCAGGAUGGGAGGAGGAUGUUGGGCACAGACAGUGUCACUGGGGACAGGCAGUGACAGUCACCUGCCCUGCUACAGGAAUGCCGGAAAUAAGGAAAAGAGCAACGUAAGUCAUUUUCCUCGGGGCUGUGGCAAAGCUGCAAUGAACUGCAGUUGAUGUUAUGGCUGUGCUUCCUUGAGACUUGAUGUGGGCCGCACCUGCGUACCCGCACGGGCAGUGCCAUUCCUGGAGCUAACUCUGUGGGCAGCCCCAGGUCAUCGCCCUGGUGUAACAGUAUGCAGCACUCUGGCAUCAGAGCCAUUAUCUGAAAGAAGUGCCAGCCAGGAGACAGAGCGCAGGCAAGAUGCCAAACCCAAGUUGCAUCAGUUAAUGUGUAACUCAUCAUGCGCCAGCUCCUGCCUGCAGCAGCACCGGGCGCUCGGUGGCAGGAAUUGGAGCAGGAUCUGGCAUGGGAGGAGAGUGAUGGAGCGCUGCACCCCACAGCAGCUGGCUUAAGGUGUGGUCCUGGUCUGCUCUGGUCUCACUGAACUUUGGUGAGUAGAUUUUGUCUUCAAGGUCAUGUGUAAGCAGAGAAUAGAGGUAAGUCUAUAUGAUUCCAAUAGAACAAAUACUUUCUUGUAGGAAUGUAAAAGGAAAAAAUUAGCUGAACUCAAAUUACCCACGGCCUUGAGACUUGCACGUAGUCAGAAAUGGCUAGUUUAGGUUGGAAGAUGAUCUGUAAACAUCCUCUAAUUCAUUAAACAUUGUGGUUAGUCCUGGUUACAACAAUGUAUCGAUGCCGUGAAGAUGGCAUAUUGCUUAAAGAGGAGAAAGAAAUAACAAAGGAAAAAUGGAUCCUUGUAAUGAUUCCACCAUAAUCAUACCUGAUUCUUCCUUCAUCGCAUUAGGGACAUGAGUUACUCUUGCAAAAUGUAUAAAGAAAAAUAUAGAGUUACUUGAUGACGAUAUGGUACUGCAGCCUGACAGCUGUCUGCAAAUAUUUUCACCAUGAUUAUCCUUACUAAAAGUAAAUCACUGGGUAAAGAUAGCUCAAACGUGACAAGGCUCAAAUAGGAUGCAACUGACUCUAUCUUGAAUACUUUUGGCUACAUAUGGAAAAAAAUAGAGAUUUGGGAUGACAGCAAUUGUUCCCCGAAGCCCUCCUCCAACAUUGUAAGACGAAGCAGAAAAGCGUGUACCUUCCAUGCAGAUUUUGUUAGGAGGUUGGCUUUGAGAGUUAGUGAGGUAGAAAUUAAUCAACUUUUGUAGGGAAUGAGACAGGAAAAAAAAGCAGCAUACUUCUCCUCCCAAAUACUGCACCAAAAAUAAUAAAUAGUACAAAACAACCUCGGUUACUUGUAAUCAAUCUAAACUCUCUCUAUGGAGCUUGCGUUUCAGUGAACCAGCAAAUGACUUUGCCUUUUUAUAGCGUAUGAGUAUUACAAUGUUUGGCUUGUUGGUUUUCUUUUUUUUCUUUUUUUUUCUUUUUCCACAAAUUUUGACAAAUGUGUGUAGUCUCCAAAUAUGAGAGGGAAGUUGAUUUGAAUGAAGUAUAACCUGUUCAUCACGGUAGGUGCCCCAGUGGGCUCACUGGGGGAGGAGCAGAUAAUUUGUUCGCCUAAUAUGAAGUGGUCGUAUCAAAUGCAGUGUCCAUUAAGGGCCGCAAAAAUAUGAUGCUCCUGUUUAUCUAAAUAGAAAAGAAAAUAAAAAGCCCACUGAGUUUAUAUAGGUGCUUAAACCUCUUCGCUGCUUGGCAGCUCUAAGACUGACUGCAGGAAAGUUCAAAGUUCAGCGCUGGCAGAUCUAAAAACAGAUUUGUGGGGCAGCUCUUCAGCACCGCACUUUCUGCACCGAAGUAAACCGAUACCAUUCCAAUUAAAUAGCAACGCUGCACAAAGGAGGUCAGGCAUUGUGUGUGGCUCCGCGCCGGCAUCCCACCCAGGCACCUCUGUGCUGCUCCUUCUCAAAGGCCAAGAGCUUCUCUGGGACUCAUAGGGGUUUUAAAAACACAGAGGGGAACAAAGCCAACCUAGCAAACAAAUACAUGUACAACAAUAGACGCUAUACAACACACCAACAGUGCAAAAUGUUGUAAUGUAGUAGGAAUUGAGUGUCACCGGUUAUAGAACACAUAGUAGCAGCACACCUGUGAUAACUUAGGAAACGAAUUAAAUAAACCACAAAGCAGAAGUCUCCUACUGUUGCACCAUGAAAUGAAAUACCUAGGCUUGGAGGUUUGUUUUGUUCUCAGGAAAAAAAAAAAUCAGAACUAUAAAUAAACUUACUGGCAAUAUAUACAGAUUUAAAUAAUUAAUUUAAAUAUCUUACACCUACUCUUGCAUAAAACUCUCCAGUAAAAGUGCACCACGUUUCUUUUUUCCCAAACGUGUUCUGAGUCUUUCCCUGUGCUGAGGUAGGUCGGAAGGGAGAUGUCUCAGAUUCUAGGAAGAAAAUGUGUCACCGUCAUUGUGGGAGAUACUUUAUUGCCUUUCUUUGUUCUUCCAUUUUUGCUCAGGGCUAUGUACAUCCCGGGAUAAAUCCUGGAUUCGUAAGCAUUGUAGUUGUUUGGCAGGAGGAUCUCUUUGAAUUUGCACUCAUCAUUGAAAUGGGUCUGAAAUGAAAAGGAAGGAAUGAGAGGGAAGGAAUUUUAAACAUCAGGUGCAGAAAUAUUCUUGCUACCAGGUGUAGUAGGUGUGCUGCAGGAAAAGGUGCAGCUGACAUCCCCCCCGUAAGUAAUCUUUUGAAGUGGUUGUCCAAAGGAAGCUUCAAAUGACACUCGGACAAUUAUUAAGGGUGCUGCUUCCUAGCCAGGCACAGACGCGUGGAGCACGGAAGGAUAUCCUGUAGUUCUGUCUGUGCUUCUGAGAGAAAGAGGCCCAUUUUAACAGAGGGCACUGCCAUCAGGAGUGACCCAGAUGCAGUUCUGCUGCCCGGCUCAUCAUCUAGCUCGGCUGAUGAGCUUUUACCUCUUUUCUUUAAAAAAAGAAGGGGAAAAGAAACUGUCAGACACUAGGGCAAUGAGAGUUAUGAGUUGCAACCAGUGCUCAUGUCCCCAUGUCAGAGUGCAAGGGCUCACUGAUAUUUCUGAGUUACAUAUUGGUAAGUUUACUUAGUUCCCAACGCAGUGGUUGUUCCUACCAGUAGUGAAUUCUCUGGGAAGCUUCAGAAAAAAAUCUGAAUGUUAGCACUUUCUCAUGUUGUUUGAAGGGAAAGAGGUAUUUUAAAAAUGCUCAGAGUGGACAGUAUUUUCUGCAUCUUGAGUUUUAAAAUUGAAGGGUUUAGAUUUACCUGUGUUAAUGGAUUAGGAAGACAGGGCUGACAGAAAGCAUGCUUCUUGUAAAGGGGUUUCACAUGCAAGUACAAAGAGGGACAGGUGUUGCAGGUGUGUCAUAUGGAGAGUAACAAAUGAGGUCAUCUCUUGUUAGUGGGCAAAUCUGAUGGUUUUGUAAGAUAGGUCUCAGCUUGCCAGGAUGAACACUGCAUUGAUAAUUGUAUCCAGGACACCAAAGCAGCAUAUUGUUUCAUUUAGGCUUGGCACAAAGGGAGCUUUUGCACUUUGAUGACUAGUCAUUCCUGGCUUUCAUGUAGUCAAAAUCCUCUGUGACAGGAUUGAUGCCACAGAAAAUAGCUCUGGAUAAUUCAAGUUUUCGUGCAUGUGAAAAUGCCCUAGUCAACUUUGACAUAAUUUGGCCCUUUCUCAGCCCAUGUUUCUUCAAAACAUCCCUGAGGGACAUGAAAUACAAAGGCCAGGGGUAGGGAAGGAAAUCCAAGAACAUGGGGUUGAAAUGAUGCUAAUCACUGUAACUUAUACACAGUUGAAUUCUAAAGUAGAAGGACAGCUCAACGUGGAUUAAGACAUGCACUGUUACUGUCCACACAGUGUGCUUUAAAACAUGCCAGUAUUUUUUCCAUGGACUAGAUGUAAUAGAAGAUUUGCAUUGUAUCUUAACUGAUCUGCCUUUUUAUAAUUAUGAGCCUGGACCCUAAAGGUGCUGAACUCUCAUGGGAGCUCUCCAAUCAAGAGUAUUAACAAGGAGCAAUCGACAGGGCAGUAGGAUGAAUGGAGAACAUGGAAGACCUGAAGACUCUUCAGAGAUACCAUCUUUCUCAGAUCAAGAAUAUCAAAGGGUGAAGGAAGGAACAGAACUGGACUCAAAGUCAAGUUUGGUGAAGCUGCACCAUCUCCUUAGCCCUCAGCAAUGAAUUUAUGAUUAUUAUGAAAUUUGUUGAGGACUUCAAUUACAAUCAAACCACAAGGAGGACAAACAGCAAACACAAUAAGCUGCUGGCUGACUUGCUCGGUGCUGGCAAAGCAGCAGCCUGGGUGAAUGAUAUCUGUUUAUAUGGUGGUUUUGAGAAGAGAAGAGGAAAUGCUAUGUUGUCUUCAAUCAAAGAAGUGUGGCCACGGAAAGAGGAGAGCUGAAACUGGUCAAGAUGCUACAAGAUGGCAUAUAGGGACUGGAGCAGCAUGUCACAGAAGAGCCACUCUUGGAAGGAUGAGAUACGUGAGAUAAAUCAUGUGGCUUUUAUUCAUGAGGAGAGUCCAGAAAAGACAGAAGUUUUUGGUACUGACUAUCCUAUGUAAAGUAGGUAGAUCAAACCACUCUCAGAAACCUUUUUUAGGGUGUGCCAAUCUGUGACCCUAUGCAAAAUCACGUAAUCUAAAGACAAAGGUAUCAGAAGGAGUAAGAGCCAAGGAGACCUCAGAGCUACCCUGUUUGUAUGACUGGAAAUCCUUUAUCUCCCCCACCCUCACUGGCCCACAACCAAAAUGGUUUAAUGAGAACGUUAUUUGGUGAUACUGGCAGGUCUUGCUAUCACUCAUUGAAGAGGUAAGCAGUAUCACCUGUAGUGAAUGUGUUGCAAUUAGCAGAUAUAUUACACCUGCAGUCAGAUUUCCUCUUGUCAUCUAAAAUUUUUCAUCUCUUCCUUGUGUUGGCUGAGGAAGGGAUUUAUCUGGGGCCACUGCAAAGGCAAGGGGAUGUAGUGAGAAGAAUCAAGCUGGUAAGUGUUCUUCUGUGUUAAGCUUUUACAUGGUUCAAGCUGUUUCUUGUUUUCUCCCUUUUGUGAAGGAAAUUUGCUUACUCUGCAACAGGAAAAUUAUGGAAAAAGCAAAGGAAGCUACUCCUAGGCUUCCUUCUUUAGCAGUUUUGAUGCAAAUGCAUAACUCAUCAACAAAUAUUGUAUGAUGUUAUACUUUACUAGUUAACAGUAGCAAGUUGCUGUUAUUUUUUUUUACCAAGCCUGAAGGAUGGCCUGCAAGCAAUUCUCAUGCGUUGUAGAGCCUUCAUGUCAGUGUGAACACAGGCUGCAGAGUGAGCCCCCAAAUUUGUAGGAACAAGAUUUGAUGAUGAUGACAACGUGUUUUAGAGAAUUUUUCCCUUCUGGCGCUGCAGUAGUUUGUGCAUAGUGCCUUGCCAUAGUACUGUUCCUUUAGAGGGCACUUUACCUCUUUUGUCACAGUGGGAAUUGGGAUAGGGCAAUGAGAAGUUCCCACAAAAGAGAAAAACUUCUCAAAGUUUUUGUGGUUCAUAGAAUGGUCUGAAAGCACAACAGGAAAGAGGAGCCAAUCCAGGAUAAAGUGGCUAAAUAGGAGGUGCAUGGAGGCUUGGGAAAGGAAUUGCCUGAAAUUGACAAAUUUUGCUUCAUGUUCUGGUGAGUUGGCCUCUUGUUGUUUUAGCUUUGGCCAAAUCCACAUGCAUUUAUGACAAAGAUACACAUGAUUAUAUGUUAUUCAAGCUUCUGUGAUGGCUACAGAUAAAGGAAAAGUAGUUCCAUUAGAUAUAAAGAGGAACUGAAGCAACGCCUUUGCUCAUGGAUUAACUCAGUACUGCUGGAGGGUCUGCGAUUCCUCAGCAGAGGGCUUGUAAGAAGCAGGCCAGACGUGUUUAACUUCAGUUUGGAAUCACCAAAUACUAGCCAAAUAUAUCUAGCUGUUGUUAUACUAUAAAUAUAAUUUUUGCUAUUAUUAGUAGCAGCAAUAGUUACUACUACUGGUUAUUAUUAGUCAUAAUUUUUACUAUGGUACCACUUAGGAAUUCCCUUAGCAGGCUGGAGUGCCAUUGCAGUAUGCACUGUAAUGCUGUUACUAUGACAAUUUUUCUCUGUUUGCCAGUAUGUUUUGGCUAGAGAGCCAGCUGUUGAUGAGCUGUGCUGCAAGUUGCUGAGCAAUAAAUCCCAAACCAAAUUCA